rnacentral:lncRNA from 1 species
CCAUCACAGACGCUUUGGGUAACUCUUAAAGUGGAGGAAGACAGGAAUGUCAGGCCUCUGAGCCCAAGCGAAGCCAUCAUAUCCCCUGUGCCCUCCACAUAUACAUCCAGAUGGCCUGAAGCAACUGAAGAUCCACAAAGGAAGUGAAAAUAGCUUAACUGAUGACAUUCCACCAUUGUGAUUUGUUCCUGCCCCACCCCAACUGAUAUGAUAUGUUCUCCCCCGCCCUUAAGAAGGUACUUUGUAAUAUUCUCCCCCGCCCUUAAGAAGGUACUUUGUACACCUAUCCCAAACCUACAAGAACUAAUGAUAAUCCCACCAUCCUUUGCUGACUCCUUUUUCGGACUCAGCCCGCCUGCACGCAGGUGAAAUAAACGCCUUGUUGCUC